CAAUUUUCAAGUAGUCCGCAAAAAAUGUUUGAGAACGCACUGCACAUGCGUCUGACGAAGUGGGUAUUCACCCAUGAAAGCUUAUUCUCCAAUACUUCUGUUAGUCUGUAAGGUUCCCCAAGAAGGGAUGAGGUUUGGCGAUCCCGGGGGGUGCUUUUUCCUAUAAUUUAGGAUGAACCAAUGUCACAGCACGGCACUGAGGGCAAUGUGCUGCCUUUCAGAUGAGACGUAAAGGGAAGGUCUUAACAAUUUGUGAUUAGAGCAUGUUCACAAAAAACCCCAAGGUGUUAAUCCUGCUGACCAGGCCAAAUUCCAUCUCAGAUUAUUGUUUUCUGCUUACCUAUCUUCCCCCAGCAGUUACAGUAGGCCGGGGUAUUCUUCCCCUUCCUGUCCCAGUUAUGUAGUCUUACUGUUAUUCAGCUCUACAUUUCAGAACAGAGGUGGCAGGGGAAAUAGAUCCUAUUUAUAGUUUGUUUGUAAAGUAUUUUGUGAUGAAACAUGGAGUCUGGAGUGGAGGGUGCUGAGAUGGAGGCAUCUGAACCCCCCCUUCCAUGGAGAAGAAGGAACAUUGAAGCACAACAUAUCUAGUGGGAUCAACUGGACCGUUGCUUCUUCCUUCUGCCUACUCCAUUGUUUUGCAGAUCAGGGCCUGAAUGAAGACGCAACGACUCUGUCCUUAGAAGAGAGACCUCUUCAUGAGUGCUGAGAAGAGUCUCAUUCCAAGAGUUGCCAUUGCUUUGUUCCCACAAGCCGAAGAGGAGGUCAUUAGCAGCUGUAAGAAAGAAACCAAAGAUGAUUGGACUGGAUCUGUGUCUCAUCUGGACAGCUACUUAAGACACUCAGUAUGUUGCAAUUUCAAUCCAUUCAUAUCUAUGUAACAAUUUCAUACAUCAUGGUUUUAUAGAGGAUCAGUACACUGGAAAUUCUUUCCUUCUCACUUGGUUAAAACCGAGCUUUUCGUAGAACCUGGAAAUGGCUUUCAGUAACUACUUUGUGGAGUGUUAUUUUUUUAAACCUGUAGCAAGCUUCUGUUUGCAUUUUAAUUCUUAUUUACAAUGUUUUCAACAUUUAAACACUACAUGUUUAUGUUAUUUUUAAAUGUAGAAAAAUGUGUGCAAUGGACACCGAGGCUAAGUUCUUGAACAUGGGUGCUUGAAGUUGGCCUCUUCAGUACAUAUUUAAAUACCUAAAUAAAUUGCCUGCUUUCAGUGUUCAGUGAUUUUGAAAAUCAGACUAAUUAUAAAGGCGCCUAAAUAUGGAUUUAGGACCUUAAUUUUAGGCCUUAUUUUUUAAAAUCUUGGCCAUAACCUAUCCAAAAUAUUCUCCAACUAGAAUUCUCAGUGCUAUGCAAAGCAUGAAAAAUAAGCAGAACUUUAUUUUACAUGUGCAAUAAUCAACGUUUUAUAUGUACAGUCUUGUUUCUACAAGUGUGGUGAGUGUAUGUGCACAAUAAACUGGCAUGUAAGUGUUCAAAUCCAAAAUUAUAUGCACUGUAUUUGCUUUGCAUGUGAAAAAUGAGACCACUAAUCAAAGCACAACAAAAAUAUCUGGGUACAAUGUGUUCUUAUCUGUGUAUUAAUCAUUUAUAUACGUAUGUACAAUAAAUGGCCAGUUACAUCA